CCUACGGGUGGCAGCAGUGAGGAAUAUUGGUCAAUGGGAGGAAUCCUGAACCAGCCAUGCCGCGUGCAGGACGACGGCUCUACGAGUUGUAAACUGCUUUUGUACCGGGGUAAAUUGCUCUAAGAGUAGGGUUUUGAAAGUACGGUACGAAUAAGGAUCGGCUAACUCCGUGCCAGCAGCCGCGGUAAUACGGGGGAUCCGGGCGUUAUCCGGAGUCAUUGGGUUAAAAGGGUGCGUAGGUUGUUUUAUAAGUUAGCGGUAAAAUACGGAUGCUCAACAUCGGGGCUGCCGCUGAUACUGAAGGACUAGAGAUCGGAUGCAACAGGCGGAAUGUGGAGUGUAGCUGUGAAGUGCAUAGAUAUUACACAGAACACCGGUUGCGAGGGCAGCUUGCUAGGCCGGAUCUGACACUGAUGCACGAGAGCGUGGGGAUCGAACAGGAUGAGAUACCCUGUAGU
rnacentral:rRNA from 1 species